AAGGAACACCUAUCUAGUAGAGGUGUCCUUCAGAGGCAUCCCUGGGUCUAGGUGUCCACUUCGUGAAAGCAAGGAACGCAGAUGGUUCAUCAGGGGGAGGAAACUUCAGGGAAAAGUUCCCGAGAUGAGUAGUGAUUCACUUAAUGGUGGGAUUUGAAAGGAAGCCAAGUGAGUGGAGCAAAGAGAGAAGGAAGAGGGAAGCAAGGAGAGGCUGGAGGCUGAAAGGGAGGAGGAGAAGGAGGAGAUCAGAGCAUGCCAAGCUGCUAGUCUGACUCUGAGGAAGCCUCACAGCUCACUAAGGGAAGCUGCAGGAAGGUUUCCAGAGGUGGAGCUCUAUGAUCAGAUUUACAUAGCUCAGAGAUGGGGUGGCGGGUGCUUAGUGAUUCAAAAAACCCACUGAAGAUGACCAGGACCACAGUCAUUGGAUUUUCAGAGACAAGGCUUGCCUGGUCUACAUGAACUUGAUGGAACAGAGCUAACAAACUCUGAAGAAUGAACUAUAUCACAGCCAGCAAGCCUGACCUAUCAAUCUGUGAGCACAGUGAGAGACUGGAUUCCACCACUGCUAACCUCCUGUUUUACAAAGUGCUCCAACAAAUUCUGCUGAACUAAAUUAACACUGUGAGACUCGAGACGGAGGUCACAGUGAAGGACCAUGACCACCUUGCACCCGCCUGCCCACCCCGUUGGACUCAGGAGUUUGAGACUCUUAUGACAUAGACAGAGGAAAGAUGGUCAGAAUCAGUCCCGGGCCAGCUCUUCUGCUCUCCCUCUGCAAAACUCCGGGUGCAAAAUUCCUCUAGACCGUCUUUCCAUUGCUGAGCAAAGAAUUUUCCACCAAAGCACCUCUCAGAAAAGAAGCGCUUGUCCCCAGCUAGGUUUUAGGUACCUGUUGAAAAAUCUCUCCAUUACAUGGUACAGAGGAACAAAUGAGUUUAAGUACAUGUUUUAGAGAUCUGUUUGUAUUCUGAUCCAGCUUGACUGUUCUAAUGGGAUUCUCUUGCUUUUUUGCAAGACAAUAAAGCGUGUGGACAGUAAUCUCUAAAAAUAACAACGAAUCUCCUGAAGCCUGACGUGUAUUUCAAUUACAAUUAUUGCAACAUCUGACAAUUUCUUCUUGACAAUCCCCUUAGUGGUACAAUUGGAAAUCAGAAAUUCUCCAAUUUUUUUAAAUGAUUGCUUUCAUUAUCCCAAAGGUUGCAUUUCUCAAAAUUAAGGGGAGUAGAAAAGAAUUCUUAAGGAACUAGCUUCUGAAAACAUUUGUGUUCCUUGAGAAUUCUCAAGGGGAUAAUUCUAGAGCUGAACUGCUAAAGUAAGUACUAUUGAUGUGAUGACUGUUAAAAAAUUCCUGAUUUUGCAAAAUUCAAAACAAAUCAAACCCCCUCCCAAAAUGCAAAUCAAUGAAGUGCUAAAUUUUAAGUAGUCUAUGUUUAAUUUACUUAAAAAUGUAUUUUAUUCACAUAUUAAAGUACUGUGUUUAUCAGGUAUUUUAAAUAAAUGUGUGUAAAUACAUUAAUGAAAUAAAUAUAGACACUCAACGAA